AAUCGUUGGAUCAACUAAGGAGUUGAAAAACCCUUGGUUUCACUCACUCGCACCCACCUAUCUUCCGAAAACCUCCCGAACCCCUCUCACAACUUCGAUCAUCUCUCGCCUUCUCCAUCACUGUCGGCGUCCCUCAUUCUCUUCCUCUACCCGAUUGGGAGAGGACAGGCUCCCUCUUCCGCCUCCAUCUCAUCUACAGCCGACGCUAACGCACACAAUAGGAGCUUCAUCCCAGAAUCCGCAGGCCAUCUCAUCUCCUCUACCAUCUUCCUCGCCGUUGACGGCAAGGUCUUCUCACAGAGCUUCCAGAUCUGAAAGCCAUCUCACGGUGCCUUCAUCUUUAGCCCACAGCUUCUUCCAAUUGGGAGAGGCGCCACCACCGAACUCUACAUCACCCUCUCCUGAUUAGUAGAGGUUUCUUCGCCACCACUAGUUUCCUUCCACCUCUCCAUUUCGGAUUUGAAGAGUAAAGCUUCAUCACUAGCCAGCAACCCCUCUCCUCUUCGGAUUUGAAGAGGAGAGUUCAUCCAUCCUUCAACAACCCCUUUAUCUUCAGAUUCGAAGAGAAGGUUUCAUUCUCCAUCGACGAGCAGCCAUCCACUUUGUCCACAGCCUUCGCUGGUAGAUUGGCCGUCAGAGAAGCUCCAUCCAGCAGCCCCCUCUCCACUUCGGAUUCGAAGAGGAGAGUUCUAUUCCGAUCCAUGCCUAUGACAUUGGGUUAUUUCUAUAUAUGUUGAAUUGUGUUAUUCUUGUUGAUUGUUGAAUUGUAACGUAGCUAUUCUCCCAUGUUUAGAAUUGCAUGUAAUUUUGCUUAAUUGAAUUCUCGCUCGUUAUGUGUUUGAUGAAAUGCCUCUUUCAUUAGUUAGUUUCUAAACUUGCAUCUUCUUUGGUUUGAAUUCUUGUGAUGAUUAGUUAGUUGAAUGUUUUAGGUUAGAUUAGUUGAAUUUUGACAAAUUUAUUCAUGUGGAAGUUUAUUUCUAAUAUUUCCUAAAUUUUUGAAUACUCAAAAAUAGAUUGAAGAGGAAUGAAAAUGCUCAAAAAUAGAUGUGGGGAAUGUGCUCACAUUUUGACACUCAAGUCAAAAAAAUGAACAUUAGGGACUUAGUGCAUACCUAAACUUCAUUGGCCGUGGUGCCUUUCAUUGGCUAGAUUGUCCAAUUUUCAACUGCUGAAAGUGUUGGACUUCAUCGGACAGUUGUAACAAGUAUCUGUUUCAUGUUGGUUGGAGCACAACUAAAAAUGAUGGUUCUGCUGUGCCAUCUAGGUUAUCAAUGGUUUGUUUUUUUCAUUGCUUAUGUGUGAUUUUGGUCAAGAGUUCUGAUAUUUGUGUUCGAGAGAGGAUUUUGAACAUUAUUUCUGACCAAAAUACUCUAGUCAUCAAGCUGUACACAGUGAGUUCUUCUUAUAUCCACAUAGAUUUACAUGGUCCAAAUAUAUCUAUUGAGGUGCAAACAGUCUAUUUCUUGAAGCUUGAUCUCUUCAUAUAUAUGCCUCUUGCAUGGAAUAAUGUUUUUAGAUAUUCAUAUGUAAAUUUUCUUGUCAUUGCAUAUCAUAGCAACCAAUGCUGAUGCACAAGAAGUCAAAAACAAUUUCAUUUUAUCAAAUUGGACUUGUAAAAGAAAUAGGGAUCUAUGGCUGCAUCAAUUUUCGACCAUUUAGUUAGCUUGCUAGAUUUAAAGUCCUCAAUUGUUUUUUCCCAGAAUCUACCAAUAAUUUGAGGAGCAGAUCUAGUGGAACAAAUCAAACUGCCCUCUUUGUUUAGCAAUUGUUUCCUCGAUCUUACUUAGCAGAUCUAGUGGAAUGAAUUAUGCUGCCCUCUUGGUUUAACAAUUGUUUCCUUGAUCUGACUAUUCUUGGAUCGGUUGGACCGACUAGAGGGGGUGAAUAGCCCUGUAAAGUAGAAUUAUGAAUCUUCUCUUGCUUGUCGAGAACCAGUUGACAAUUGCCACUCUUUUGAAUACUCAUUAUACUAAUCUCUCAUAUGUUAGGGAAACUAAGCAUUGGCCUCCGAGUUUAAUCGAUUCCUUGUAGCAUUUCAUCACACUUUCCUAACAAGCUCCAAUAUCUUGCUUGGUUGAUAAAUGGUGAUGCAUUAAGUCUUUUUCAAUGCAGAUGUUAAUGGGUCAGAAACAAAUUUUGUGUAUCACUUCUAAAGGACAUCAUAUCACAGACAUUGAUAAGCGAAGAGGAGGAUUAAGAAGCACUAUUUGAUCAGAAUAUGGAGGAUUAAGAUGCAGAAUAUAGAAAAAUAAAAGUCCAUGGCUGCAUAUAUCAAGAGAGAGGUUUGUUCUACCUUGGUGCAACUUAUAGAAGUUCGACCAUCAUUCCUAGAGUGCCUUUUCAGAUAUUUUAAAGGUGAAUGGAGGUAUUCAAAAACUCCAGCUAAAUAGCUUGGGUAUGGAUGAUUACAGGAGCAACAACUACAUACUAUGUGACACUGCAUCCGAACCUCAUGGGUGUGAUUGGGAAGUACUUCGACGAAGAACUAUCAAGAAGGCUUUGGGAUUUAAGUGAGAAUAUGGUUAAAGUCAAUGAGUAAAGAACAUUCAAGUCAAGAGGAUAAGUAGCAUCUAUAAAGAUCCUUUAAGUUCAUGCAAUAAAAUGUAGACGAUAGAAGUAGUUUUCAGUGUCUCCUAAUUAAAAUUUCUUUGUAUGCAAGUAAUUAUGCUUGUUAUAAAGUGUAUGGAUGAUAAUUUAUAUAUUUAUCUUGGUUGUUUAUUUAA